rnacentral:rRNA from 1 species
UGGGAAUUUGGACAAUGGGCGAAAGCCUGAUCCAGCAAUGCCGCGUGUGUGAAGAAGGCCUUCGGGUUGUAAAGCACUUUUGUCCGGAAAGAAAUCCUUGGCUCUAAUACAGUCGGGGGAUGACGGUACCGGAAGAAUAAGCACCGGCUAACUACGUGCCAGCAGCCGCGGUAAUACGUAGGGUGCAAGCGUUAAUCGGAAUUACUGGGCGUAAAGCGUGCGCAGGCGGUUUGCUAAGACCGAUGUGAAAUCCCCGGGCUCAACCUGGGAACUGCAUUGGUGACUGGCAGGCUAGAGUAUGGCAGAGGGGGGUAGAAUUCCACGUGUAGCAGUGAAAUGCGUAGAGAUGUGGAGGAAUACCGAUGGCGAAGGCAGCCCCCUGGGCAAUACUGACGCUCAUGCACGAAAGCGUGGGGAGCAAACAGGAUUAGAUACCCUGGUAGUCCACGCCCUAAAACGAUGUCAACUAGUUGUUGGGGAUUCAUUUCCUUAGUAACGUAGCUAACGCGUGAAGUUGACCGCCUGGGGAGUACGGUCGCAAGAUUAAAACUCAAAGGAAUUGACGGGGUCAUAGCUGUUUCCU